CUUGUGGUACUCAUCCAUGUGUUUCAGGUGGUAUUCAGGUCAGGUUGUGUUACAGUAGACUAAUCACCUUGUGGUACUCAUCCAUGUGUUUCAGGUGGUAUUCAGGUCAGGUUGUGUUACAGUAGACUAAUCACCUUGUGGUACUCAUCCAUGUGUUUCAGGUGGUAUUCAGGUCAGGUUGUGUUACAGUAGACUAAUCACCUUGUGGUACUCAUCCAUGUGUUUCAGGUGGUAUUCAGGUCAGGUUGUGUUACAGUAGACUAAUCACCUUGUGGUACUCAUCCAUG